CUGGGAGAAGGUGUCGGAAGCCUCAGCAGUAAGAAAACAUGUCAACAGAAUAAAAUAUUAACCAAUGACGGGCCGCCGGGCCCCGAGACCCCUCCUCCUGCCCCGGCCCCCACCGCCCGCCCGCGCCUGCGGCUGCCUGCGCCGGACUGGAGAGCGCGGAGGGCCGACCUGACCCGCCGAAAGGGCCUGAGGCGAGGGGAGCCCGGGUCCCGGGGCCUUGGGGAAGGACCCGCAGCCGCACGCCGGCCCCAAGUGCAAAGCAUUGACACGACCCCGAGCGGAGAGGGGGCGCCCUCCUUCUCCCGCGCCCAGAGGCCCGGCCGCUCUGGCCCGAGCCCCAGCCUGGCCUCCGACCCAGCUCCGGGUCGUGGCGCCGCCUGGGGGUCCCUGCGCCCCGGAAAGAGACAGCAGGCACUGGAAAGCGAGGCCGGUGGGCGGGCGAGUCGGGAGGCUCGGGCGGCCGAGGUCCGGGAGCGGAUCCCAGGUGGCGGGAGCUGGUGAGUGGAGCCAUGGCCGAGCCCUGCUGGGGCCGGCGCGGGCGGGAGCGGGACGCGGCCUUGCGCUGGGGAAACGCGGGGACCCCCUACCCGCGCCCGCCUUCACCGGAAGACUCGGAAGGAACCUGGAGUUCUCCGCAGGCCCGGGCCCCGCCCUGAGCUUUCCAGCGGCCGGGAGGAGCGGAUCCUCGGGGCCAGGAAGGUGCCCUGGCAGGAGGGACUGGCUUAUGCCACCCUGUGCAGGAUCGUCUUCUCAGCUUACAGAGCCUAGUGUGAUUCAACAACCCUCCAUCUCUGCCCCCAACAUGCCCAACUGAUCUGGUGGAGGGAACUGAAGAUGAAGGCCUCUCAGGCACCAUGGAUGGGAUGGGUGUGUGUGAAGGGGGCAGGGUCCCCAGGAGCUGCCCCAGGUCUGGCUGGACAGUUGCACGGGAAGUCCUGUUUGUGAACUCAACGUUUCCACGGCUUUUCCA
rnacentral:lncRNA from 1 species